rnacentral:rRNA from 1 species
AGGUUUCCGCCUUCUAGUGCUGAAGCUAACGCAUUAAGUCUUUCGCCUGGGGAGUACGACCGCAAGGUUGAAACUCAAAGGAAUUGACGGGGACCCGCACCAGCGGUGGAGCAUGUGGUUUAAUUUGAAGCAACGCGAAGAACCUUACCAGGUCUUGACAUCCUUUGAAGCUUUUAGAGAUAGAAGUGUUCUCUUCGGAGCCAAAGAGACAGGUGGUGCAUGGUCGUCGUCAGCUCGUGUCGUGAGAUGUUGGGUUAAGUCCCGCAACGAGCGCAACCCUUAUUGUUAGUUGCCAGCAUUCAGUUGGGCACUCUAGCGAGACUGCCGGUGACAAACCGGAGGAAGGCGGGGACGACGUCAGAUCAUCAUGCCCCUUAUGACCUGGGCUACACACGUGCUACAAUGGAGUAUACAACGAGUUGCCAACCCGCGAGGGUGAGCUAAUCUCUUAAAGUCCGUCUCAGUUCGGAUUGCAGUCUGCAACUCGACUGCACGAAGUCGGAAUCGCUAGUAAUCGCGGAUCAGCACGCCGCGGUGAAUACGUUCCCGGGUCUUGUACACACCGCCCGUCACACCACUGGGAGU